CCAAUGACGCUCUUUUUGUAGGAGAUUCUGUUUUACAAUGUCUUCUCGUCUAAUAUAAUUUUAUGCUUAUGAAAAUGUAAAGCAUGUUUUCGGUGUUUUAUACUUGUAGAGAAGAGGUAAUAUGGAAUUUUGUUUUCUCAAGAUACGAGUGAAAUCAUGGGCUUGAAAACUAGCGACAACUAUUUAAUUCUAGUUCAUAGUUUAUGCUCAUGCUUAGUGGAGUAAUUACGUGAGUUACUAAGUGGCUGAUUUAAGUUGGAUUGAUUUUCUGCGUUCUUUACUUGCCGUGGAUAUUCUUGGUUUCUCGCAUAAGCAUGCUGAUAUGUAUGAUAUGUCCAUUCCUUUUGUUUGUCUCUUCUUUUUUUUUUGAGCUCAAGAUUUUUCAUCUAACUUGUUCUUUGUUUGUUUUUUAAAUGUGCACAUAUUUUCUACUCAAAAGCAGAAUGUUGCUUUGCUUCAUGACAAGUACUAGAGUUCAUGCUCGAGAAGAAGAGGCAAGCCUGAGUUGAUGCGAGAGGAGCUUGUGGAGGCCAAGGAGAAAUACGAGAGUAUCAGUUGUUACUUAAAAGAGUUGGUGCCAUGUUAUGUUACUAUUCUAUAAUUAUAAUAAGUUACUUGUGGACAAUGUGGACAAGGUCCAUUUUAUGAACAUGGUGUAAUGGUACAAAGUAACUAGUUGUUUUUUCUGGUUGGCACAUCUUAUGAACCUAUUGUUUAAUGAUACUGCUGGGCCCAAUAUUAUCCUGGUUACCUGCCAAAUUGUGUUAUGAUUUUGGCCCUGAAAGUAAAUCUGCA
rnacentral:lncRNA from 1 species